rnacentral:rRNA from 1 species
AUGUACCCAGUAGCAUGGGCUGUGGUGGAGAAAGAGACCAAUGAUAGCUGGAAGUGGUUCAUUGCACUCUUAAUCAGAGACUUGGAUAUCAAUGACCAAGGAGAAGGAUGGGUCUUCAUUUCUGACCAACAGAAGGUACAUCUGUUUACUAAUGCAAACUUAGUUACUAGUACAUGCAAACUUAUGUAG